rnacentral:rRNA from 1 species
UACGGAGGGUGCAAGCGUUAAUCGGAAUUACUGGGCGUAAAGCGCGCGUAGGCGGCUCGAUCAGUCGGGUGUGAAAUCCCUGGGCUCAACCUGGGAACUGCAUUCGAUACUGUCGAGCUAGAGUGUGGGAGAGGGUAGUGGAAUUCCCGGUGUAGCGGUGAAAUGCGUAGAUAUCGGGAGGAACAUCAGUGGCGAAGGCGACUGCCUGGCCCAACACUGACGCUGAGGUGCGAAAGCGUGGGUAGCAAACAGG